rnacentral:rRNA from 1 species
UACAGAGGGUGCGAGCGUUGUUCGGAAUUAUUGGGCGUAAAGGGCGCGUAGGCGGCGCCACAAGUCACUUGUGAAAACUCUGGGCUCAACCCAGAGCCUGCAGGCGAAACUGUGGUGCUGGAGUAUGGGAGAGGUGCGUGGAAUUCCCGGUGUAGCGGUGAAAUGCGCAGAUAUCGGGAGGAACACCGGUGGCGAAGGCGGUUCUCUGGGCCUUACCUGACGCUGAGGAGCGAAAGCGUGGGGAGCGAACAGG